AACCGCUCAGCCAUCUCCUGCUAUCUGAUUUCUGUCCUAGCAUACAAGUCGUGAAGUGGUAAAAGGAUAGGUCAGUUCAACACAAUGAAAUGUGAGACAGGAAGAGAAAAGAAGCUUGAAGGAAUGUGAUAGCAACAAGGACUCUGCAGAGGACUGUCAGUGCACUUCAGUGGUGCGCAGAGACAGCUAGCAAGGACUAGACUUGGUUCAGAAGAGUAUGGCCUCACGUUAGAUGAAGGCAGAAUCAUGGGAUGGCUCUGUCUCUACCUCAUACAGGUGAGUGGAGGAAGAGUAGAUUUUGAUACAGUGAUGUUUCCUGUGUG
rnacentral:lncRNA from 1 species